rnacentral:rRNA from 1 species
GAGUUUGAUCAUGGCUCAGAUUGAACGCUGGCGGCAUGCCUUACACAUGCAAGUCGAACGGUAACGGGCCUUCGGGUGCCGACGAGUGGCGAACGGGUGAGUAAUACAUCGGAACGUACCCUGAAGUGGGGGAUAACGUAGCGAAAGUUACGCUAAUACCGCAUAUUCUGUGAGCAGGAAAGAGGGGGAUCGCAAGACCUCUUGCUUUAGGAGCGGCCGAUGUCGGAUUAGCUAGUUGGUGAGGUAAAGGCUCACCAAGGCGACGAUCCGUAGCGGGUCUGAGAGGAUGAUCCGCCACACUGGGACUGAGACACGGCCCAGACUCCUACGGGAGGCAGCAGUGGGGAAUUUUGGACAAUGGGCGCAAGCCUGAUCCAGCCAUGCCGCGUGAGUGAAGAAGGCCUUCGGGUUGUAAAGCUCUUUCGGUGGGGAAGAAAUGGCACGGGUUAAUACCCUGUGUUGAUGACGGUACCCGCAUAAGAAGCACCGGCUAACUACGUG